UGAUGUCAUGAUUGGCAGCUUUGUUGACAAAUGUGGGCACCUGCAUCGUUCUGUGCCAGAUCAGCAGAGUGGAAGAGGAAUGGUAAAAGAAAACAUUGCGAACAACCAAACAUGAAUGUUAGCUUCAAAUCAACACAGGAAUCUGUUGUGCUGUGGAUUGUACCCAUCUGGGGCAGAAUUCAAUGUGUUAAGGCCACACAGCCCUGCAGCGGUCCACUGGGAGCCUGAGGAUGCUUGGUGGCCUUCCUCCAGGUUUCCUGUCUCCUGACUCAGCACCAGCUGUGCACACCAGCAGGAAAAAGAAAAAGCAAAGGGUUGUGAUGAUGGGGCUCCAACUGACCAGCAGCCUCUUCUCUGCUGCGGCAGACAACAUGAUGAGUAACACUGUGACUUAUCCCC